rnacentral:rRNA from 1 species
GAUGAACGCUGGCGGCGUGCCUAAUACAUGCAAGUCGAGCGAACAGACGAGGAGCUUGCUCCUCUGACGUUAGCGGCGGACGGGUGAGUAACACGUGGAUAACCUCCCUAUAAGACUGGGAUAACUUCGGGAAACCGGAGCUAAUACCGGAUAAUAUAUUGAACCGCAUGGUUCAAUAGUGAAAGACGGUUUUGCUGUCACUUAUAGAUGGAUCCGCGCCGCAUUAGCUAGUUGGUAAGGUAACGGCUUACCAAGGCGACGAUGCGUAGCCGACCUGAGAGGGUGAUCGGCCACACUGGAACUGAGACAAGGUCCAGACUCCUACGGGAGGCAGCAGUAGGGAAUCUUCCGCAAUGGGCGAAAGCCUGACGGAGCAACGCCGCGUGAGUGAUGAAGGUCUUCGGAUCGUAAAACGCUGUUAUUAGGGAAGAACAAAUGUGUAAGUAACUAUGAACGUCUUGACGGUACCUAAUCAGAAAGCCACGGCUAACUACGUG